UCAAGCUAAUAAGAGCGCAAGGGGAAUGCCUUGGCAUCAGGAGCCGACGAAGGACGUGACAAGCUGCGAUAAGCUACGGUGAGGAGCAAAUAUCCUGUGACCCGUAGAUUUCCGAAUGGGGCAACCCGGCUGGACAAUAUCCAGUCAUCCUGCAUUGAAUCAAAUAGGUGUAGGAAGGGAACCGCCUGAACUGAAACAUCUAAGUAGGGCGAGGAAAAGACAUCAACCGAGAUUCCGCAAGUAGUGGCGAGCGAACGCGGAAGAGGCCAAACCGGAGGAUUUAUUCUCCGGGGUUGCGGACAGCUAUACGGAACAAUAGUUUAGCCGAACGGUCUGGGAAGGCCGGUCACAGAGGGUGAGAACCCCGUAGGCGAAAGACGAAUUGUUUCAGGCUGGAUCCAGAGUACCGCAGGACACGUGAAACCCUGUGGGAAACAGGGGGGACCACCCUCCAAGCCUAAAUACUACCUGAUGACCGAUAGAGGAGCAGUACCGUGAGGGAAAGGUGAAAAGGACCCCGGGAGGGGAGUGAAAGAGAACCUGAAACCUUGUGCUUACAAGCAGUCAGAGCACGUUAACGUGUGAUGGCGUACUUUUUGUAGAACGGUCCGGCGAGUUAUAGUAACGAGCAAGCUUAAGGUAUUCAGUACCGGAGGCGCAGCGAAAGCGAGUCUGAAAAGGGCGCAUGAAGUUCGUUGCCAUAGACCCGAAACCGGGUGACCUACGCAUGAGCAGGUUGAAGUGGGGGUGAAACCCCAUGGAGGACCGAACCGACCCCCGUUGCAAUGGUGGCGGAUGACUUGUGGGUAGCGGUGAAAUUCCAAUCGAACUCGGAGAUAGCUGGUUCUCCCCGAAAUAGCUUUAGGGCUAGCGUUAUGUUAGAUUACCGGAGGUAAAGCACUGAAUGGUUGAGGGGCCGAUAAGGUUACCAACGCCUAUCAAACUCUGAAUGCCGGCUAAUUGAUGCAUAGCAGUCAGACAGUGUGAGAUAAGUUUCAUUGUCAAAAGGGAAACAGCCCAGACCUACAGCUAAGGUCCCAAAUGUAUGCUAAGUGGAAAACGAUGUGGAAUUGCGAAAACAACCAGGAUGUUGGCUUAGAAGCAGCCACUCAUUAAAAGAGUGCGUAAUAGCUCACUGGUCGAGUGACUCUGCGCGGAAAAUAUAACGGGGCUAAGCAUGCAACCGAAGCUUGGGAUUGUCAAAAGACAGUGGUAGGGGAGCGUCGUGUACGGGGUGAAGUCGCAUCGGAAGGAGCGGUGGACUGUACACGAGUGAGAAUGCCGGAAUGAGUAGCGAGAAUUAUGUGGGAAUCAUAAUGGCCGAAAAUCUAAGGUUUCUUGGGGAAGGUUCGUCCGCCCAAGGUAAGUCGGGAGCUAAGCUCAGGCCGAGAGGCGUAGGCGAUGCACAUACGGUAGAAAUUCCGUAACCACCGAACUUUAAGCAUGAGGGACACUUUGAGAUAGCGGAACCCGGGCGUUGGUUGACCCGGGCGAAAGGGACCGAAAUAUAGUAGGGAAGUCCGCGAUGCUCGGAGGCGAGAAAAGCUCAUGUGUAUACUAAGGUGCCCGUACCGCAAACCGACACAGGUAGAUGAGGAGAGAAUCCUAAGGCCAACGGGAGAAGGGUUGUUAAGGAACUCGGCAAGAUGACCCCGUAACUUCGGAAGAAGGGGAGCCUCGAAAGAGGCCGCAGUGAAUAGGCCCAAGCAACUGUUUACCAAAAACACAGGUUUAUGCUAAAUCGAAAGAUGACGUAUAUGAGCUGACGCCUGCCCGGUGCCGGAAGGUUAAGAGGAGAUGUCAACCGCGAGGUGAAGCAUUGAAUUGAAGCCCCGGUAAACGGCGGCCGUAACUAUAACGGUCCUAAGGUAGCGAAAUUCCUUGUCAGGUAAGUUCUGACCCGCACGAAUGG
rnacentral:rRNA from 1 species